ACGUUAUCCAUACGUUAACCAAAGAGAAUCGUUUUCACCCUCCCUUCACGGAGAAUGAGCGGGGUUCGUAGAGGUGUUGAAAGGGAUUGCUUCGCGUAGUCAGCCUCUAUCUACUAUUUAUGUGUAAUAGAAAUAUUCACAUUAACGCUGUAUCUUUUGUGAAGAUUAAUCUUACACAGUGCUCUCCUUUCAUUGAGUGCUGCUGUGGGAACUAUAUUUACCUAUUUCACCUUUUUUGCUAGUUGACUUUUAUAUGUUGUUCUUUACGCUUGCGUAAGGUUCACACGUUUAAUUAUUUGAACGUUAAAAUUACAACUCUUAGCAAUGGAUAUCUUGGUUCU
rnacentral:misc_RNA from 1 species